rnacentral:lncRNA from 10 species
UGCAUGAUGAAGGGAUGAUGGGUGAGCUACCAAGGCUAACAUUUUCCCGAGGACAUUGAGUUAGGGAAGUGGCCUCUCCUUGAGGGAAGGAGCCAGAUGACUUCUCAGAGAACAACAACCAUAUUCAAAAUAUUCUCAAGUUUCUUUUGUUUCUUCUUGUCUGCAUCUGAUAUCCAGGACAUUAUUCCACAGGAAAAGGUUAACAGGAAAUCAAGAUCGGCCCGAUGCUGGGGAUGCCUUGGUGAAAAAAUU